AGCAGCCGCGGUAAUUCCAGCUCCAAUAGCGUAUAUUAAAGUUGUUGCAGUUAAAAAGCUCGUAGUUGAAUUUCGGGAUUGACACAUCGGUCGUGCCUUAAGGGGUAUGAACUGGUGUAGUCAAUUUCUCACCUUCUGGAGAACCGCGAUGCCCUUAAUUGGGUGUCGCGGGGAACCAGGACCUUUACUUUGAAAAAUUAGAGUGUUUAAAGCAGGCAUUUUGCUUGAAUACAUUAGCAUGGAAUAAUAAAAUAGGACGGCAUGAUUCUAUUUUGUUGGUUUCUAGGAUCACCGUAAUGAUUAAUAGGGAUAGUUGGGGGCAUUAGUAUUCAAUUGUCAGAGGUGAAAUUCUUGGAUUUAUUGAAGACUAACUACUGCGAAAGCAUUUGCCAAGGAU
rnacentral:rRNA from 1 species